UACGAAGGGGGCUAGCGUUGUUCGGAUUUACUGAGCGUAAAGCGCACGUAGGCGGAUCUUUAAGUCAGAGGUGAAAUCCCAAGGCUCAACCUUGGAACUGCCUUUGAUACUGGGGAUCUCGAGUCCGGGAGAGGUGAGUGGAACUGCGAGUGUAGAGGUGAAAUUCGUAGAUAAUUCGCAAGAACACCAGUGGCGAAGGCGGCUCACUGGCCCGGUACUGACGCUGAGGUGCGAAAGCGUGGGGAGCAAACAGG
rnacentral:rRNA from 1 species